UUUUUCAGGAUAUGGAGGACAGAUUGAUUGAGCUGGAAGCACUGCAGAAGGCUCUGCUAGAAGGCACAGAAGCCUAUGAUAAAAUGCAAGGUGAACUUGUAAAGGCAAGGAACAGCCUAACCAAAAUCUUGACAUCGAAGGAUGUGAAAGCAACUUUGUUAGAGAUGGUUGAGAAGAAUGAACUCAAUAGAACCUUGUUGACACUUCUUGAUGAAAAUAUAUCAAGUGCCAACCAAAGUAACCAGAAAGAAGCAGCGGCUUUCAUGGAAAAGCUUCGUGCAGCUAUGCUAAAGUACAUGACAGUUUAGCACUCGAUGGUAAAUAAUGCAUUCAACUUAGCAGGGAACUA
rnacentral:misc_RNA from 1 species